rnacentral:rRNA from 1 species
CAGCUUCAAUAGCGUAUAUUAAAGUUGUUGCAGUUAAAAAGCUCGUAGUUGAACCUUGGGCCUGGUUGGCCGGUCCGCCUCACCGCGUGUACUGGUCCGACCGGGUCUUUCCUUCUGGGGAGCCGCAUGCCCUUCACUGGGUGUGUCGGGGAACCAGGACUUUUACUUUGAAAAAAUUAGAGUGUUCAAAGCAGGCCUAUGCUCGAAUACAUUAGCAUGGAAUAACACGAUAGGACUCUGGCCUAUCUUGUUGGUCUGUGGGACCGGAGUAAUGAUUAAGAGGGACGGUCGGGGGCAUUCGUAUUUCAUUGUCAGAGGUGAAAUUCUUGAAUUUAUGAAAGACGAACUUCUGCGAAAGCAUUUGCCAAGGAUGUUUUCAUUAAUCAAGAACGAAAGUUGGGGGCUCGAAGAC